UGUUUACUAUGAAAAACUUAGAGUGUUCAAAGCAGGCCGCCCGUCGCCGCCGAAUACCGCAGCUAGGAAUAAUGGAAUAGGACUCCGGUUCUAUUUUGUGGGUUUCUGGAACCCGGGGCCAUGAUUAAGAGGGACGGCCGGGGGCAUUCGUAUUGCGCCGCUAGAGGUGAAAUUCUUGGACCGGCGCAAGACGGACGAAAGCGAAAGCAUUUGCCAAGAAUGUUUUCAUUAAUCAA